rnacentral:lncRNA from 1 species
AUUUUAAUUUAUGUUUACACUGUUAUUUGCAGGACGAUAUUUUACCAGCUAUAAGCUUAGAUUCGCCAGAGCACACUGCGCAUGAAUUUGACCAGCCUUCCACAAGCCAAUUGUCGGGCGCGUCACAGAGUACUGUGGAGGAGGAACAUGAAGUUCAGCUUUCCAUUAAUGAAAUAAACAAUUAUUGUCCGAAGCAAAUUCACAUAAAUGCCAAUAUUAUGGAUUAAUGGGAAGAAAAGAAAUACAAUAUCCCCGCUUAUAUGAAUUGGCAAAGGUCAUACAUUGUGUUCCCGCAACACAAGUCAGCGUUGAAAGGGCAUUUUCGGCACUGAAACUUAUACUACCGGAC